AUUGAACGCUGGCGGCAGGCCUAACACAUGCAAGUCGAGCGGGGUUUUCGGACCUAGCGGCGGACGGGUGAGUAAUGCGUAGGAAGCUGCCCGAUAGAGGGGGAUACCAGUUGGAAACGACUGUUAAUACCGCAUAAUGUCUACGGACCAAAGUGUGGGACCUUCGGGCCACAUGCUAUCGGAUGCGCCUACGUGGGAUUAGCUAGUUGGUGAGGUAAUGGCUCACCAAAGCGACGAUCUCUAGCUGGUUUGAGAGGAUGAUCAGCCACACUGGAGCUGAGACACGGGCCAGACUCCUACGGGAGGCAGCAGUGGGGAAUAUUGGACAAUGGGCGCAAGCCUGAUCCAGCCAUGCCGCGUGUGUGAAGAAGGCCUUCGGGUUGUAAAGCACUUUCAGCGAGGAGGAAGGGUGGUGUGUUAAUAGCACAUCAUUUUGACGUUACUCGCAGAAGAAGCACCGGCUAACUCUGUGCCAGCAGCCGCCGUAAAAC
rnacentral:rRNA from 1 species